CCGGGCCAGUGCUCAAAGGGCCCGUCCCUGCUCCGACGUGCGUCGCUGGUGACGGCGGGGUGCGAAGCUCGGAGAAAAAGCCCAAGAAUCCUCGUUCCGUCCGGGGAUUACAGGCAAAGGGG
rfam:Frankia symbiont of Datisca glomerata, complete genome.